CAUGCAGCCGAGCGGUAGAGAUUCUUCGGAAUCUUGAGAGCGGCGUACGGGUGCGGAACACGUGUGCAACCUGCCUUUAUCAGGGAGAUAGCCUUUCGAAAGGAAGAUUAAUACCCCAUAAUAUAUUAAGUGGCAUCACUUGAUAUUGAAAACUACGGUGGAUAGAGAUGGGCACGCGCAAGAUUAGAUAGUUGGUGAGGUAACGGCUCACCAAGUCUACGAUCUUUAGGGGGCCUGAGAGGGUGAUCCCCCACACUGGUACUGAGACACGGACCAGACUCCUACGGGAGGCAGCAGUGAGGAAUAUUGGACAAUGGGUGNAAGCCUGAUCCAGCCAUCCCGCGUGAAGGACGACGGCCCUAUGGGUUGUAAACUUCUUUUGUAUAGGGAUAAACCUAGAUACGUGUAUCUAGCUGAAGGUACUAUACNGAAUAAGCACCGGCUAACUCCGUGCCAGCAGCCGCGGUAAUACGGAGGGUGCAAGCGUUAUCCGGAUUUAUUGGGUUUAAAGGGUCCGUAGGCGGAUCUGUAAGUCAGUGGUGAAAUCUCACAGCUUAACUGUGAAACUGCCAUUGAUACUGCAGGUCUUGAGUGUUGUUGAAGUAGCUGGAAUAAGUAGUGUAGCGGUGAAAUGCAUAGAUAUUACUUAGAACACCAAUUGCGAAGGCAGGUUACUAAGCAACAACUGACGCUGAUGGACGAAAGCGUGGGGAGCGAACAGGAUUAGAUACCCUGGUAGUCCACGCCGUAAACGAUGCUAACUCGUUUUUGGAUUUUCGGAUUCAGAGACUAAGCGAAAGUGAUAAGUUAGCCACCUGGGGAGUACGUUCGCAAGAAUGAAACUCAAAGGAAUUGACGGGGGCCCGCACAAGCGGUGGAUUAUGUGGUUUAAUUCGAUGAUACGCGAGGAACCUUACCAAGGCUUAAAUGGGAAAUGACAGGUUUAGAAAUAGACUUUUCUUCGGACAUUUUUCAAGGUGCUGCAUGGUUGUCGUCAGCUCGUGCCGUGAGGUGUUAGGUUAAGUCCUGCAACGAGCGCAACCCCUGUCACUAGUUGCCAUCAUUAAGUUGGGGACUCUAGUGAGACUGCCUACGCAAGUAGAGAGGAAGGUGGGGAUGACGUCAAAUCAUCACGGCCCUUACGCCUUGGGCCACACACGUAAUACAAUGGCCAGUACAGAGGGCAGCUACACAGCGAUGUGAUGCAAAUCUCGAAAGCUGGUCUCAGUUCGGAUUGGAGUCUGCAACUCGACUCUAUGAAGCUGGAAUCGCUAGUAAUCGCGCAUCAGCCAUGGCGCGGUGAAUACGUUCCCGGGCCUUGUACACACCGCCCGUCAAGCCAUGGAAGUCUGGGGUACCUGAAGUCGGUGACCGUAACAGGAGCUGCC
rnacentral:rRNA from 1 species